AUUGAACGCUGGCGGCAUGCCUUACACAUGCAAGUCGAACGGCAGCGGGGGAGAAGCUUGCUUUUCCUGCCGGCGAGUGGCGAACGGGUGAGUAAUACAUCGGAACGUGCCCUGUAGUGGGGGAUAACUAGUCGAAAGAUUAGCUAAUACCGCAUACGACCUGAGGGUGAAAGUGGGGGACCGCAAGGCCUCAUGCUAUAGGAGCGGCCGAUGUCUGAUUAGCUAGUUGGUGGGGUAAAGGCCUACCAAGGCGACGAUCAGUAGCUGGUCUGGGAGGACGAUCAGCCACACUGGGACUGAGACACGGCCCAGACGCCUACGGGAGGCAGCAGUGGGGAAUUUUGGACAACGGGCGAAAGCCUGAUCCAGCAAUGCCGCGUGUGUGAAGAAGGCCUUCGGGUUGUAAAGCACUUUUGUCCGGAAAGAAAUGGCUCUGGUUAAUACCUGGGGUCGAUGACGGUACCGGAAGAAUAAGGACCGGCUAACUACGUGCCAGCCGCCGCCGUAA
rnacentral:rRNA from 1 species